rnacentral:lncRNA from 1 species
GUGUGCAGGCCAGGGUCCAGCCUUGCCUGAGGGUUGCACAGUGUUUUAAAUGACUUCUGCACUGGCGGGCCUCUCCUCCCGAAACCAGUCUCUCCCUCUUAACUCCAUACAGUAAGCAAGGCCCGGUAAGAAGUUGGGUUUCCCUGCCAUCCUUCCUGCCCCAGCCCCUCAUCCUCAACUCACCAUCAACCCUUCCACGAUCCCAAAUUGCUCGUGGAUGACUUUGGCGAGGGGAGCCAAACAGUUGGUGGUGCAGGACGCGUUGCUGAAACAGCCAAGGUGUGCACGGACACUGUGAGGUGGUGACCUCCCCAACUCAGCCCUCAACCUCCUCAGAGGCGCCAACGCUGACUGCUGUCAGCCAGCCCAGACCCUUUCUCCAUAUGCUGCCCGGGACGUGGACUCUGACUGUGAGGCCUGCCCGGCUGCUUUCUGCUUCCCAGCCCUGACAACCUCGCCACGAACCCUCCUAGACCCUCAGCUCCUACAAUAGGAAGCUGGCUGCCAAAGGCCAGGAGAGUCCCUGAAGACAGACACUGCAUUAAAGAAAAAGCUCCUGGAGGACUCCUGAAGCCUGAGGCAGCCUUGGGGCGGCAGUGGCUCAUGGUUUACAUUAGAAAGGUAAGGGAGGUUUCUGGUUUCCUGUUUUAUAAAUUUAUGUUUUUACUUGGUAUUUUGACAAACAUUUGUAUUUGAAGCACA